CGUGACCAUAGCGCUUGCAACUGUGUCGAAAUAUCGGGAGCCUCAUAUCCCUGACUUAACGCGUUACGUGAAUUACUCGAGUAUCGCCGCGAGAACUCUACGCAAGGCACUCAAGUCCAACCUGAGGGAUGAAGCUUCCAAGCGGGACGAGUCACACAUCAAAUGCUUCUUUUGGGAAGACGGCCACCCGUUGCCUCUGGGACAAAAGCCGGGUGGUUCUGGUGGCGCCUCCAGCGGCGGCGGAGAAAAAGGAAAAUGAUGCUUCGCCUCACUGUACCUCAUCACAUCACUGCAAGUCGUAGAAUAACGUUAGAUUGUUAUAAACAGUAGCAGCUGUAACAUAGAACCCGCAUACCGCGCGCGACGCGUUAUUUGAACCACCGCAAUAGGCUAGUUACCAACUAAUAAGUCAAAUCAGAUACUUUUUACCAAGCGUCAAAACACGAAAUUACUAUGGAAUUUUUAUUAAAAUUCAUUUUCAAUUAAAUAGAAAAGAGAAAAUGUUUUUCGUUAGUUUUAGAUCUAGCUUUAUUUAGAAAUCAGAAUUUCAUAAUAGAUCUUUAACCGAAAAAAUCAACACGUCUCACGACCACGACCCAAUUGCCUGCGCGAUAAAUAAACCAAUACUAUUCGCUUAACUAACGCGUCGCACCUGUUGUGUUACUUGGAAGGAAAAGGUAUUUUGUACUGUUUGUACCUGUAGAUAUUGAGAUUUCAUUGGAUCAAUAAUAAAACCAAAUCCAUCCAGAUAGGUACUACUUCUGGUUACGUAUUUAAAUGUCUAAAAUAAAAAAGCUAACGUUCAAUUACCUACGUUUAAAAUACCUAAAAUCUAAGUACCUAAUGUUUAAAUUCCUAACCAACUAAUACGAAGUUCCUAUCGUGGGGUAGCUGUUCUGUUAUGUAUAAAGGGUAUUUAAAUUUUAGGUAAUUUGACGUGAGGUGUUUUAUUAACUUAAGACUUUAAAUACGUAACCACUAUUUUUACAC